AUGACGGACAUUGCUAGAGGAAUCUAUAGCAAUGGUAGCCUUUUCUUAUUUUAUUUGUGCCUGGUACCUAUGCUUGUAGCUGUCAGAGAAAGAACAACAGUGUAUGUCCACAUGUCUUCAGAAAUAUGCUUUGCCAAUUUGUUGUUCUUUAUUGUGAAAGUUGACUUGUCAGAUAGAAAAAAGUCACUUUGGAGGACGGGUGCAUCGGAGCCCUAUAUUUUGAAUUCUGAAAAUAAAUCAACACAUUUAUAUGGAUGUGUCUUACACAUGUUUACUUAUUUCAUCACCAAACUUUACAUAUGUGUAAUAUACUCCCAUAUAUCGUGA
rnacentral:rRNA from 1 species